rnacentral:rRNA from 1 species
AGAGUUUGAUCCUGGCUCAGGAUGAACGCUGGCGGUGUGCCUAAUACAUGCAAGUCGAACGGACUCUUAUUUGAUCCUUGUCCCAGACCCUCGGGUCAGGGCUAUGGAUCGAUAAGAGUUAGUGGCGGACGGGUGAGUAACACGUUGGUACCUGCCCCAAAGUGAGGAAUAACUGCCCGAAAGGGUAGCUAAUACCGCAUAAUACCGCAAGGUUAAAGCAGCAAUGCGCUUUGGGAGGGGCCUGCGUCCCAUUAGCUUGUUGGUAGUGUAAUAGACUACCAAGGCGACGAUGGGUAGCUGGAUCGAGAGGUUGACCAGCCACACUGGGACUGAGAUACGGCCCAGACUCCUACGGGAGGCAGCAGUAAGGAAUCUUCCACAAUGGACGAAAGUCUGAUGGAGCAACACCGCGUGCAGGAUGAAGGUCUUCGGAUCGUAAACUGCUUUUAUAUAGGAAGAUUGUGACGGUACUAUAUGAAUAAGGACCGGCUAACUACGUGCCAGCAGCCGCGGUAAUACGUAGGGUCCAAGCGUUAUCCGGAAUCACUGGGCGUAAAGCGUGCGUAGGCGGGAGUCUAAGUGAGAAAUUAAAUCGUGUGGCUCAACCAUAUCGAUGUUUCUCAUACUGGGCACCUAGAGGAAGGCAGAGGCAAGUGGAAUUUGUAGUGUAGCAGUGAAAUGCGUAGAUAUUACAAGGAACACCAAUGGCGAAGGCAGCUUGCUGGGCCUUUUCUGACGCUGAGGUACGAAAGCGUGGGGAGCGAACAGGAUUAGAUACCCUGGUAGUCCACGCCGUAAACGAUGCAUACUAGUUUUUUGGGGUAUCGACCCCCUGAGAAACGAAGCUAACGCGAUAAGUAUGCCGCCUGGGAAGUACGGCCGCAAGGCUAAAACUCAAAGGAAUUGACGGGGACCCGCACAAGCGGAGGAUGAUGUGGUUUAAUUUGACGAUACGCGAAGAACCUUACCGAGGCUUGACAUCCUAGGAAUCCACUGGAAACAGAGGAGUGCCUUAGGGAGCCUAGUGACAGGUGCUGC